UUAUUGUUUGUAUCUGAAAUGUCCUCCAUGGUUUCAAGUCUUGGUUGCCAGUCAGUGAUGCUACUAAGAGAUGGUGGAUUCUACUGAGGGCCCAAUGGAGGAAUAUCCUCACUGUGAUAUGCUCCCUUUGAAUCUCUGUGUUUGAGUACUCUGUGAUGCCAGAGCUAAUGGAGGAGGCUUCAGCAGCUGGUAAUGAGAUGGUGGGGUGGGGCGCCUGAUGCCUCCUGUUCAGGUGCUUUUCUACUUUUAGGAGCAUACCGGGUUGCAGCUUGUAAUUUAUUACCACAGAAUCGCCUGGAACGCCUAUGGAACUUUCUAUACUACACUGCUGUCUUUGCCCUGGUCAUGCCCCAAAGAAUCUCAAAUAUCUCAAGGGACUGCCACAAAAAUAAAU